rnacentral:rRNA from 1 species
AUUGAACGCUUGCGGCAUGCCUUACACAUGCAAGUCGAACGGCAGCGCGGACUUCGGUCUGGCGGCGAGUGGCGAACGGGUGAGUAAUACAUCGGAACGUACCCUGUUGUGGGGGAUAACUAGUCGAAAGAUUAGCUAAUACCGCAUACGACCUGAGGGUGAAAGUGGGGGACCGGAAACGGCCUCAUGCAGCAGGAGCGGCCGAUGUCUGAUUAGCUAGUUGGUGGGGUAAAGGCCCACCAAGGCGACGAUCAGUAGCUGGUCUGAGAGGACGAUCAGCCACACUGGGACUGAGACACGGCCCAGACUCCUACGGGAGGCAGCAGUGGGGAAUUUUGGACAAUGGGGGCAACCCUGAUCCAGCAAUGCCGCGUGUGUGAAGAAGGCCUUCGGGUUGUAAAGCACUUUUGUCCGGAAAGAAAUCGCGCUGGUUAAUACCUGGCGUGGAUGACGGUACCGGAAGAAUAAGCACCGGCUAACUACGUG